GCAAUACUUGUGCCACGUACCAAAAGAUAAGGGGGACGCUAGAAAGUGACUUAAGCACCAAAUUAUAAGACCAUAUAAUAUAUAGAGCAUUGGCAAGAUUUAGCGGUCACCUAAUACUGAUAAAAAUGGUUGCUAAACUAUUAUUAUAUUAUUAGACCAUUAUUAUUCUGCAGCCAAGACCUUAGAGGCCAUUACGCGAAGCUAGAUUCUGCCUAGUGCUAUAUCUUAUUCUAAUUGACCAGAAACGAAUAUAAAUCAUUAGGGCAUGAAGUGGCUGUUCCCAAGACUUGCACUUAAUCCCUCUGUGGUCACCAUAAUAUUA
rnacentral:misc_RNA from 1 species